rnacentral:snRNA from 1 species
UAUUACCGUCAGCGAUGGAUUA